rnacentral:misc_RNA from 1 species
AGCAGCCGCGGUAAUUCCAGCUCCAACAGCGUAUAUUAAAGUUGUUGCAGUUAAAAGCUCGUAGUUGAAUUUCGGGGUUAGUAGGCUGGUCAUGCCUCUGGUAUGUACUGGUCUCACUGAUUCCUCCUUCCUGAUAAGCCGUAAUGCCAUUAAUUUGGUGUUGCGGGGAAUUUGGA